rnacentral:lncRNA from 1 species
CUGAGAGGUGUUACCAGAACUUUUGAAGCUGUUUCUGAUGUGUCUUAGAAGUGUAUGACAGAAGAGAGGGAGUGGUGAUGAUGAUCAGUGGCAGUUCAAGCUGGCGGAUCUUGGUAGCCCUGCUCUUCAUUUAACUGGCAGUGGAGAAAAGCACAGCAAACAUGGAAGACAGGGAAGGCAGCAGAGCAAUGGUGCAGGUCGGUUGGUCUGAAGAAAAGUGAAAACAGCAUGUGCUACAGCCUUCCCUGCCUUAUGAGUGGAAUCAGUUUCCGGAGAACCCCAAAAAGGGUGUCACUGGUGUUGGGGAAUAAAGAUUGAGUGCUUUUAAUUUGAAAUCAGAAAUCCGCAGCUGUUUACAGUUCAAGUUACGACACGGAUUGUGGCCUCGUGCAUCUCUGCACAUGGAAAAAGUGAAUGCAGACUGGAAUGGUGAUUUCAUCAGGAAACGGUACACAGCCCUCCACUAUUCAUCAUGCUGCAGCCACCGUGAUAAGGUGGGACACCGCGUUGAGGGCUCACAUUCAAAUGGUGAAGACAGAUAACAAACAGCAGCAUAAAAGUUACCAAAGGAAUUACAAAUCGAGGUAAGGGCAAGGAAGGAAACAAACAAGAAGCUGCGGUACAGGCUCCAUAAAACGUGGUAGCUUGACUCUUCUCUGAGAGAGGGGAUGGCUGGGGCCAACCUGCUCCUGCGACCCAUUUGGUGGGUUAAGCGAGGCAGAACCAUCAAGGCACCUGGCACGGAGUUUCUAGGUGGUGGAGACCGGAUUCGAUUCUACAGCCCCGACUGCAGCCUUCUUUCUUGAAAAUGCUGACAGUCAUUUCCAGUCAAGUCAGAGGAAAGAGAAGAGCACACCGGAAGCCCCUGGUGAGAAAAACAUUGAAUCUAGCAUGGAAAAGAGCCGCGUAAAGAAGCUCAGUGACAGAAGGGUCAGCUGCCCACAGUCACAGCUAGAGUCGGUCCCAUCCUAACUGCCUUUGGGAAUAUGGUCAGGAGGCUUGAGUUUCUUUCUAAGAGCGGUGAGACCACAGGUGCAUUUCUGACAAGGUCUAGACUUGGUCUCAAACGUUUAAAAGAAGGUACCUCUGAUUGCAGUGUGGAGAAUGCACCACAAGCAGGAAAAUCAGUAAGGAGACCAGCAGGGGAGGGGAUACAGUUUUUGAUGAUGAGAUGGAGGAGAGAUUUGAACACAUUUUGGAGGCAGAAUGAAUAGCACUGUAUAGGACAAUGUGUUUGCCAACCUCAAGGAGGUGAUAGGAGGCCGGCACACCACAUGACACUGGGAUGCAGGCUUUUCUUAGAAGUGUGUUAACUCCAAAAGAGUAGUUCUUCUUAGGAGGCAGUUGCUGAGUGAAUUAGAAACAAAAGGGAAGAAAGGAAAACCUCGGUGUGUCUUAUUUCUUCAGCACAACAAAGCGGCUGGUGGGUGGUUGAAAAUUCUUUCUGGGGUAAUAUCUAUCACCUCAGAUGAGAGCACAGAGUUCAGGGAAGGUGAGUGACUAGCCACAAUGCAAACAUAAAUGCACUUUUCCUUUACCUAACACAUUGACUUCUACUAAGGAAAGAUGAAUUUGACAGCUAAGUCAAUUUCCCACCAAGCCUGUGACUCCAGAGUCCUUCGUUAUAGGCUGAGUAUUUUUAAAAUUUCUUAUUCCUUUAAUUAGUGAAAGACCCCUGCCCCUUAGCCCUCUCUUUCUCAAGUUUGCCUCCUCCUCCGGUCCGCGGCUGGUGGGGCGCGGGGAGGAUGCCUCCACUCCUGCGCCUUCCCGAUCACCACCCCCGCAGGCCUCCACUUCCCCCGCCGCCGCACGCCCGGCCGGCCACCGGUUCCCUCCAAAGCUGGUCCACCCUGGCGGGGCCCCGCGCCCCCUGCCCGCCCGCCUGGCACCGCGCCCCGGGGCUGGGGCCGAGCGAGGAGCCCGCGAGGAGGCCCGAGGGCGAGCAACAGGUGGGCCGGCACGAGGGCGAGCAUCAGGUGAGCCGGCCUGGGGCCCCGCCCCCGCGCCCCCGCCCGAUGGGGAACACUCCGUCCCAAGGUCUCCGCCCCCAAGGUAAGCCAUCUGGAUGCAGAGGGGGGAAUUGAGUCUGUUGUACCAGACACCAGACCUUGAGAAUAUGCUGGUCUGGAAUGGCUCUGUGCCUCAUUUGAACCAUCCAAUAGAAAUGACUCUGUAUUUCACCUCAUUUGAAUGACUCUAUACUUCGCCUCAUUUGAAUAACCCUGAGUAGCACCUCAUUUACAUUGACCAAUGGGAAUAGCUCUGUACUGCGCCUCAUUUGAAUUAUCCAAUAGAAUCCCUGCUUCUCGUUUGCGCUUUUUGCUAUAUAAGGACCCCUCUCCCUUGGCUUGUCGCGAUUGGCCUCACAGAAGCUAAGUCGCCCCGGGUACCCGUGUAUCCAAUAAAGCCUCUUGCUAUUUGCAUCCAAGUUCGUGGUCUCGCUGAUUCUUGGGUACGGGUCUCCUUCUACAAAAGUACCUCUUCGGGGGUCUUUCAUUAGGAAUGAUUUUCUCUAAGAUGUUAAAAAAUUUCUCAUUUUAAAUACUUGAAAUGAUGUUCAUCUAUGUUUUGCCUUGAGGUUUUUUGUUUUAUUUUUCCUUUCUUUCAUUCUGUAUGUCCUACUUCUUGCUUCCUCCACGUCUGGCCAGCUGGCUCCUAGCAUCGCUCUGUUGCCCUCUUUUCUUUCUUCUUUGAGCCUAAAUUCCUCCUCCUACUUACUCUUCUCAAAAUUCUGCCUAUACCUCUUCCCUAUUGACCAUUCAGGUUUUCAUUAGCUCAAUCUUUUGCCUUAGGCAGGCAAGGUGAAACAGCAAUACAUCUUUACAUAAUUAAACAAAUACAGCAAUCUUUACAUCAUCAAACAAAUAUUCCACAGCAUAAGCAAAUCCAAUAUAUCUUUACAUAGUUAUACAUUCCACAACAGUCCUUUUUCUCCUUGUAUAUGGAAACAGAGAAAGGUUGUCAGUAAAUUCACUUCACUAUGGCUAGGUCACCCCUUAGUCCCCACGUUUGCCUGCAGGAAUUUUUGCUGUUGACUGCAAGUUAGCUGCAGUGUGAACUGUGCACUGAGAAAGGGCUAAGGGACUGAGGAAUAUGGUGGCCUCAAGGAGUGUGGUGGAGGAAGUGUAAGAAGGCAAAUUGCCUUUUUAAAUUCACAGCCCAUUAGAGUCCU